UACGAAGGGGGCUAGCGUUGUUCGGAAUUACUGGGCGUAAAGCGCACGUAGGCGGAUUGUUAAGUCGAGGGUGAAAUCCCAGGGCUCAACCCUGGAACUGCCUUCGAUACUGGCAUUCUUGAGUCCGAGAGAGGUGAGUGGAAUUCCGAGUGUAGAGGUGAAAUUCGUAGAUAUUCGGAAGAACACCAGUGGCGAAGGCGGUUCACUGGCUCGGUACUGACGCUGAGGCGCGAAAGCGUGGUGAGCAAACGGG
rnacentral:rRNA from 1 species